rnacentral:rRNA from 1 species
GACGAAGGGGGCUAGCGUUGUUCGAAAUUACUGGGCGUAAAGGGCGCGUAGGCGGCCUGUUAAGUCGAACGUGAAAUCCCCGGGCUCAACCCGGGAACUGCGUCCGAUACUGGCAGGCUUGAGUCCGGGAGAGGGAUGCGGAAUUCCAGGUGUAGCGGUGAAAUGCGUAGAUAUCUGGAGGAACACCGGUGGCGAAGGCGGCAUCCUGGACCGGUAUUGACGCUGAGGCGCGAAAGCCAGGGGAGCAAACGGG